UACGUAGGGUGCGAGCGUUUGUCCGGAAUUAUUGGGCGUAAAGAGCUCGUAGGCGGUUUGUCGCGUCUGCUGUGAAAACUCGGGGCUUAACUCCGGGCCUGCAGUGGGUACGGGCAGACUAGAGUGCGGCAGGGGGAGACUGGAAUUCCUGGUGUAGCGGUGGAAUGCGCAGAUAUCAGGAGGAACACCGGUGGCGAAGGCGGGUCUCUGGGCAGUAACUGACGCUGAGGAGCGAAAGCGUGGGGAGCGAACAGG
rnacentral:rRNA from 1 species